UACGUAGGGGGCAAGCGUUGUCCGGAUUUAUUGGGCGUAAAGAGCGUGUAGGCGGUUUGGUAGGUCCGCUGUGAAAACUCGAGGCUCAACCUCGAGACGCCGGUGGAAACCAUCAGACUAGAGUCCGAAAGAGGAGAGUGGAAUUCCUGGUGUAGCGGUGAAAUGCGCAGAUAUCAGGAAGAACACCCGUGGCUAAGGCGGCUCUCUAGUACGGUACUGACGCUGAGACGCGAAAGCGUGGGGAGCGAACAGG
rnacentral:rRNA from 1 species